rnacentral:tRNA from 1 species
GCGGCUGUAGUCUAGUGGUCAGGACGGUGGCUUCCCAAGCCUCUGACCCGGGUUCGAAUCCCGGCAGCCGCA